rnacentral:lncRNA from 1 species
GGAUUUAUAAGACGGUCUGAUAGUUCAGACGAGCAACAGAUGAGAAUGACAGAAAGUGUUUUGAACUCAUUAUUGUCUACAUCAAAAGGGACAUCCCUAGGAUCCAUAACCCAUCUCAUAUAAUCAGGUGUCAGGCCCUUUCAACGUGUCUAAAGUUUAACAUUUAUGCUCAAUAGAUACAAUUCGGCUCUUCUAGGCUUCUUCGUGCUGAACCCUCAUGGCAUCAAGAUAAGCUUUGCCCUGCAGCUUGCUCGUUAGAUAGCCCCUCAGAUGUUCUGCCACCGUUAUCCU